rnacentral:rRNA from 1 species
UUGACCUCAGAUCAGGUAGGAAUACCCGUUGAACUUAAGCAUACAUAAGGCCGGGAAGAAAAGUUAAGGAGG